rnacentral:rRNA from 1 species
GACAGAGGGUGCAAGCGUUAAUCGGAAUUACUGGGCGUAAAGCGUGCGCAGGCGGUGAUGUAAGACAGUUGUGAAAUCCCCGGGCUCAACCUGGGAACUGCAUCUGUGACUGCAUCGCUGGAGUGCGGCAGAGGGGGAUGGAAUUCCGCGUGUAGCAGUGAAAUGCGUAGAUAUGCGGAGGAACACCGAUGGCGAAGGCAAUCCCCUGGGCCUGCACUGACGCUCAUGCACGAAAGCGUGGGGAGCAAACAGG